rnacentral:rRNA from 1 species
AGAGUUUGAUCAUGGCUCAGAACGAACGCUGGCGGCAUGCCUAACACAUGCAAGUCGAACGCCCUGGUUCGCCAGGGAGUGGCGCACGGGUGAGUAACGCGUGGGAACCUGCCCGGCAGUACGGGACAACCGCGGGAAACUGCGGCUGAUACCGUAUACGGCCUGAGGGCGAAAGAAUUUCGCUGUCGGAGGGGCCCGCGUCGGAUUAGGUAGUUGGUGGGGUAACGGCCUACCAAGCCUGCGAUCCGUAGCUGGUCUGAGAGGAUGAUCAGCCACACUGGGACUGAGACACGGCCCAGACUCCUACGGGAGGCAGCAGUGGGGAAUUUUGGACAAUGGGGGCAACCCUGAUCCAGCCAUGCCGCGUGCGGGAAGAAGGCCUUCGGGUUGUAAACCGCUUUUAGCCGGGAAGAAAAGGCAGGGGAUAACACCCCCUGUUUUUGACGGUACCGGCGGAAUAAGCACCGGCUAACUACGUGCCAGCAGCCGCGGUAAUACGU